rnacentral:rRNA from 1 species
GACGAGGGGUCCUAGCGUUGUUCGGAAUCACUGGGCGUAAAGCGUAUGUAGGCGGCUCUCUAAGUCGGUUGUGAAAGCCCAUGGCUUAACCAUGGAAUUGCGUUCGAAACUGGAGAGCUUGAGUGUGGGAGAGAUUGGUAGAAUACCUGGUGUAGUGGUGAAAUACGUAGAUAUCAGGUGGAAAUACCGGUGGCGAAGGCCGGCAAUUGGCCCAAACACG